GGGGGUAUAGCUCAGUGGUAGAGCAUUCGAAUGCUCAUCAAGAGGUCCACGGUUCACACCCGAGUGCCCCCU